UCAUUUUCUUGUCUGUGAAGUGGGAGUAUCAACGGCUUUUCCCCCUCUGGUUAUUGUGAGGUUGAAGUAGGAUGGCAAGUGUAAAAUGCUAACACAAGGGCAGGGCGGCCAAAGGGGACACAGGAAUUCUGUGUAUUCAGCAGCUCUUCUGUGAGUGUAAAACAAUCUCAAAACAAAAGCUUUAAAGAAACACAGAAUGAAACACACGUGAUUGAGCCAACAAGAGGUGAACAAGACCAAUCUGCAGUCAGAACUCCUUUCUCAUUCCUGAUGUUCCUUACUGAUGGGCCCCAGGGUGCAGGAAUGAAUGAAGCCAGGAGCCUGACCUCAUGGAGCUGACGCAGUGUCAACAUCAGGUGGGGCUAGGGGUAGGGACAGGAAACAAGCCAGCACAAAGGAGGACAGAGAGGGUGGGGCUGCGGCACACAGACAGCCGGGAGAUGGUCUCCGAGGAGGCCACACAUGUAUGGAGGCGAGGGAGCCUCCAGGCAGGGGCCUGGGAAGGAGCACUCAGGGAAGGACAGUGACUCACCAUGCCCAGCACUGGAUUUGACACUGUGCCAUCAACAUUACCUACCACAGCAAUCUUAGUGGGUGAUGGAGGUGAGAACGUGGUGGAAGUCUGGUCGAGAGAAAACAGGAAAUGGAUGGAAUUGCUGUUGUUUCCUGGCUUCCUGAUGGUCCUGUUUUUUACCUUCUGCUGCUUUUUACGGAUUUAUUUUUUCUUGACUGAUUCGUACCUUUUUGAGCAAUGGGAACCUUUGGUGGUGUAAAGCCUAGAAAAGACUCGCAACAAUAUUAAAAAAUGUGUAUGACACACAUGGUAUGUCGGAAGAAACCCAACCAUAUCUGUGUUUGCAACAACUGCAGUGUACCAUGAAGAUGACUGGAGUUCUAUGGCAACAACAUUGCAAGCACUGCUAAACCCACUGUGGUUUCUUGCCUACAUUCCUAGCCAAAGUCAACACUAAAUUUCUGUUAGAGGUGAUGAAAAUAAAAGUUUAUUUUUCCCCAUCUAUGCUCAUAUAGUCCUCCCCCAAAUUCCAUCUAUGGACUUUUGGGAGAUCCAUGGACCCCAGGUUAGGAAUGUUAGAAUUAGAUGCAUUAUUUCUUUAUAGGUAUAGAUAAGGAAAAGAUUAGAAGGAUCAACUGAUCUGGCCAUUAACUAGUUCAAAUACUAAGGAGUAAAAUGAAAUAAAAGUUUUAUGUUUUUACCAGAGA
rnacentral:lncRNA from 1 species